CCAGUUGUAAACCAAAAAGCACCAGAUACUGGUCUCAAUCAAUUUACAAGUUUAUUUUGCCAAAGUUAAGAAUGUGUGCACCUGGGAGACAGGUCUGUACCUUUCUCCAAAGAUGAUUUUGAGGGCUUCAAUAUUUAAAGGGGAAAGGUCAGAUAUUGGGGAAAGAGGAAUUUUUUUUUUUUUUUUAGACAGGGCCUCACUGUGUUGCCCAGGCUGGAGUGCAGUGGUGCAAUCUCAGCUCACUGCAACCUCUGCCUCCCGGGUUCAAGCGAUUCUCCUUCCUCAGCCUCCCAAGCUGCUGGGACUACAGGUGCGCGCCACCACGCUCAGCUAAUUUUUGUAUUUUUAGUAGACGGGGUUUCACCAUAUUGGCCAGGCUGGUCUUCAACUCCCGACCUCAUGAUCCACCCGCCUCGGCCUCACCAAAGGGCUGGGACUACAGGUGCG
rnacentral:lncRNA from 10 species